rnacentral:rRNA from 1 species
AGCAGUAGCCACGGGAAUACAGAGGGUGCGAGCGUUAAUCGGAUUUACUGGGCGUAAAGCGUGCGUAGGCGGCUUCUUAAGUCGGAUGUGAAAUCCCUGAGCUUAACUUAGGAAUUGCAUUCGAUACUGGGAAGCUAGAGUAUGGGAGAGGAUGGUAGAAUUCCAGGUGUAGCGGUGAAAUGCGUAGAGAUCUGGAGGAAUACCGAUGGCGAAGGCAGCCAUCUGGCCUAACACUGACGCUGAGGUACGAAAGCAUGGGGAGCAAACAGGAUUAGAGACCCCUGUAGUCCCUGUCUCUUAUAC